rnacentral:snRNA from 1 species
AGUUGGAUGACUCAGAUGGGAGUCAUCUGAUUGAUGGCCAAGGUUAAUUCAACUGACAGAGCUGGUUAGGUAGGUGUUCCUUUCCUCCCACACUAUACCAUGUGUGCCCCUGCCAAAGCUGAUGCCUUGGUCAAAGAGUGUGACCUUCCCCAAUAGAGGAUGAUCUUUCCCAAUAAAAGAAAACCAUUCUUCUGUUGGAGGUAUACAAGCAGCUGAACUGUCAGCUAGAAUCUCCAAAAAAAAAGUCUCAAAAUUGGAGGACUCAAACUUCCUGAAUAUCAAAACUUACUACAAAGCUACAGUAAUCAAUAUAGUGU